rnacentral:tRNA from 1 species
GGAAGAUAAGCGAAUGGCUAGCGGCCUCAUUGGAAAUGAGGUGCCCCGGUCAGGGGUUGCGAGUUCGAGUCUCGUGUCUUCCG